rnacentral:rRNA from 1 species
AGGCGUUCGAGAGAACCCAGGUUAAGGAACUCGGCAAAUUGACACCGUAACUUCGGGAUAAGGUGUGCCAGAGGUAGGUGAAGGGCUUGCGCCUGGAGCCGAUUCUGGUUGCAACAAAGCGGCGGUAGCGACUGUUUACUAAAAACACAGGGCUCUGCGAAACCGUAAGGUGACGUAUAGGGCCUGACGCCUGCCCGGUGCCGGAAGGUUAAGGGGAGUUGUCAGCGCAAGCGAAGCGACGAACUGAAGCCCCGGUAAACGGCGGCCGUAACGAUAACGGUCCUAAGGUAGCGAAAUUCCUUGUCGGGUAAGUUCCGACCUGCACGCACGGCGUAACGACUUCCGCGCUGUCUCGACCUGGGACUCGGCGAAAUCGACAUGGGGGUGAAGAUGCCCUCUACCCGCGGCAAGACGGAAAGACCCUGUGAACCUUUACUGUAGCUUGGCAGUGGUAUUCGGUUCAUUCUGUGUAGGAUAGGUGGGAGCCUAUGAGUCGGGCACGCUAGUGUCCGAGGAGGCACCGUUGAAAUACCACCCUGGAUGUGCUGGAUACCUAACCCCUUCGGGGGGACACUGCCUGGUAGGCAGUUUGACUGGGGCGGUCGCCUCCUAAAGAGUAACGGAGGCGCGCAAAGGUUCCCUCAGCCAGAUCGGAAACCUGGCGAAGAGUGUAAUCGUAUAAGGGAGCUUGACUGCAAGACCGACAGGUCAAGCAGGUGCGAAAGCAGGCGAUAGUGAUCCGGUGGUUCCACGUGGACGGGCCAUCGCUCAUCGAAUAAAAGGUACUCCGGGGAUAACAGGCUUAUCGCGCCCAAGAGUUCAUAUCGACGGCGCGGUUUGGCACCUCGAUGUCGGCUCAUCGCAUCCUGGGGCUGGAGCAGGUCCCAAGGGUAUGGCUGUUCGCCAUUUAAAGCGGUACGCGAGCUGGGUUUAGAACGUCGUGAGACAGUUCGGUCCCUAUCUGCCGUGGGCGUAGGAAGGUUGAGAGGAGCUGUCCUUAGUACGAGAGGACCGGGAUGGACGUACCUCUGGUGUUCCAGUUGUCGUGCCAACGGCAUUGCUGGGUAGCCACGUACGGUCGGAAUAACCGCUGAAAGCAUCUAAGUGGGAAAUCCUCCUCGAGAUGAGCCUUCCCUGAAGGACCCAGAAAGACUAUCUGGUUGAUAGGCCGGAGGUGCAGGCCCAGCAAUGGGUACAGCUUACCGGUACUAAUCGUCCGAUCGGCUUUUCGUA